UUGUCUUCUACAGUAGAGCGGGACAUUUGAUUUACUCUCAGCGGAAUUGACCGGAGAAGGCAUCAGUUCAUGCACUGCACUGGCCUGCACCAUGAUUAGUAUAAGGCACAUUUCACGAAGCAGAACGCAGUCUUCAGAGAUAUCCACGUGAACGCUGUGAUACGUCUGACCUUCAGUCCGAAGAAGAAACCCAGACCAGUCUUAAAAGAAAGCACAAACCAAAUCCCCUGUACACAUAUACGGACUCAGAGGAUGAGCAGCCUACAAAAAAACAGUUUCCCCAG